UAGGGAAUCUUCGGCAAUGGGGGGAACCCUGACCGAGCAACGCCGCGUGAGUGAAGAAGGUUUUCGGAUCGUAAAGCUCUGUUGUUAAGGAAGAACGAGUGUGAGAAUGGAAAGUUCAUACUGUGACGGUACUUAACCAGAAAGGGACGGCUAACUACGUGCCAGCAGCCGCGGUAAUACGUAGGUCCCGAGCGUUGUCCGGAUUUAUUGGGCGUAAAGCGAGCGCAGGCGGUUUGAUAAGUCUGAAGUUAAAGGCUGUGGCUCAACCAUAGUUCGCUUUGGAAACUGUCAAACUUGAGUGCAGAAGGGGAGAGUGGAAUUCCAUGUGUAGCGGUGAAAUGCGUAGAUAUAUGGAGGAACACCGGUGGCGAAAGCGGCUCUCUGGUCUGUAACUGACGCUGAGGCUCGAAAGCGUGGGGAGCGAACAGGAUUAGAUACCCUGGUAGUCCACGCCGUAAACGAUGAGUGCUAGGUGUUGGAUCCUUUCCGGGAUUCAGUGCCGCAGCUAACGCAUUAAGCACUCCGCCUGGGGAGUACGNNNNCAAGGUUG
rnacentral:rRNA from 1 species